UGUAUCUCAAAUUCUUUCUCUAUGCCUAGAAAGUUUUCUGCUAUUACUUCUGUGAAUGGGUUUUUUAAUGCCCUUUGUUCUAUCUUAUUCUUCAUUGAUUCCAAUUAAUAUUAUAUUAGUCAUCUUUGCAUCAUCUGGCAACUAUUGGAUUGAUUUUUUUCAUGACCCCUUGCUAUUUUUAAGAAGUCUUUUAUUUGAUGAGCACCAAUCACAACCCUGUCUUCUAGAUCUGAUAUUCUGACUUCACAUUUGUUCACUCUGCUGUGUAUACUUACAGUAGAAUUUUUAAUCUCUUGGAUUUUUAUUUGAGUCUGUUUUAUGGAAUCCAUUUCUUUUCUGUGUUGGGCAUUCAUGGUUCCCUUGUCUUUUCUAAGCUCCUCUAUUUUUUUUUAAUCUGUGUCUACUCUAGAUUUACUAAUCAUUCCUUUCAUUAUGGUCAUCAUCAUCUCUUUUUUUUUGGUACUGGGGAUUGAACUCAGGACCUUGCACUUGCAAGGAAGGCGGCAACACCACUGAGCUAAAUCUCCGGCCCAUCAUCUCUUUAACUAUCGAUUUUGUUUUUGUCCAGAGACUUACUGAUCUGUUUUGUUACUUCUCCUGCUACCAUUUCAUGAAAUUCAGCUGGAUAGCUUUUGAUUUCUUCCUCCUCAAUGACUCCUUGAUUUGCCUUAGGUAAGUUGGGGAUUAUGGGUUGCAUUGUCCAUGUUUUCUCAUUUUCUGUUUUGUGUGUGUGUGUAUGUGUGUAUGUGUGUGUGUGUGUGUUUUCUAAGUUGAGGCUUGUAAAUCACUUACAGUAGGUAGCCUUGUUACUAGUAUCAAGACCUGUUUAGGAAAUGACUACUUUUCAGAAAUAUCUUCUAGUCAUAGCUGGCUUUUGAGUCUGUCCCAGGAUCCUGCCUCUUUAUUUUAUUAUGAAUGAAAAGUUGCUGCCUGUUUGGUCUAGCACCCAGUUCUUUGGUACUGGACUAGCACCCAGUUCUUUGAUACUGGACUAUGGUAUUGUUUUUGACCCCCAAACAAUUUAAGUAUUGACAUAAAAGGAAGAUCAGUUGAUCACAACAACUAUGUCACCUUGGCUAAAGUAGUACAGUGAGUAAUAACAGUACCAUCAAGCACAGACCAGAAAAUAACAAACUGUGAUAACUACUAUUUUGUCACCUUUAACCUAGGUACAAGGUUAUUACAGUGGUGCCUCAGUUCAUGAACUCCAUUCUUCCCUCCAUGAUUCUGGUCACAAACCAAACAGGAUAAGAACUGAAUCAAAUUUCUGUGUAUUGAACCUAACCAUAGUAUUGGAUUCAAUUUUCAUCCUGCUCAGUUUGCAACCAGAAUUGUGGAAAAAAUCAAGUUUGUGAACCAAGGUACCACUGUCAAAAGCUAAGACAGAAAAUUGUAUACAGUAAAUGUCCACUCAACAGAGAAAAUUUACAUUAAGGGGAGAAAAUUUUAAAGGGAUAAGAGGAAAAAUAGAGAAAUAAAAGAAGUGAAAGAGGUUAGAAACAAGGCUGGAGGACAAUGGAAGAUUAUCCAGGCCUUGGGAAACUAGUGAAGAAGACAGAAGGGGAAGAAAGAAGAAACAAAAACAAGAACAAAGCAAAACAAACUAAAAACAAUGUUCACACAAAAAAACAUAAACAAUUUUUUAAAUGAACAGGAUUUUUUAAAAGCCCACAAUUUUAAAAAGCCCACAAGGGAAAAGAAAAAAAGAAAUCUUUCUGUGAUUUCAAGCCUGUGGUUAUCUUCUAAAGUCUACUCUUUUGUGGUAGUGUCCAAUUCAGGGCACAGCUCUGUUCUCACUGGUAGACUAAGGAGGCAGUCAGAGCCCAGAUCUGUGCUGGAUAAUCCUAGGAAUCCUGCAGUAGGAUGAGGGUUGGGUGCCAGUUCUGGUACUUUCAAGUCCACAGAUGUUUAGGCUGAUCUAGGCCUCUGCUUGUGGGGUUGGGGCCUGAGUCAUUUAGCUUAUAAUACUCUGGGUGUCUCCUGCUGACCUGACCACAGCUCCCUGACCCUAGACAUCUCCCACAGUUGUCCCUUACCUAGUUACUGAGUUUUUAAUGCUGGAAGCCCUGAGAUGAAGCCAAUCCACAGUGGUUCUGGGUCCCAGGUUCAGUUGGCCCCUCCCUAAAAUGAUGUCCAACCAAGCACUAUCUUCAGGAGAUACUGCAGUGGCUUGGACCGAAAUCAACUCACCAGCUGUUUUAGUGAACAGCAUCCACUGCUGUGUUUCACUGGUGCAUUUCUAUCAGGAGGCCUUUGGAGUCACCUGUUUUCACUAUGCCUCUGUAGAUUUGCUCCUCCCCUCAUGCCAUGAACCAGGAGAGGAGGUGAAGAUUGCCCCUUCCUUUUUCUGCAUUGAGAUCUGUCUUAGUUACCUUUCUUGUUGCUAAGGAAAAAUACCCAAUACCCAAAGUUAAGGAAAGAGUUAUUGUAGCUCACAGUUUGUAGAGGUUUCAGUUCAUAAUUGGCUGGCUCCAAGGCAGAGUGGCAUGGCAGAAGAGAAACAGUUCAUGGCGGGCAUAGGGCAGAAGGCAGCAAGCAGCAAAGUAGGGAAGAAGCAAGUGAUGACAACAGCCCUCCUUCCUAUAUCCAGGCUACCCACCCUUGGGGCUGGUAGCAUUAACACCCAGGUGGGCCUUCCCAUUAUUCACACUCAGAACUAUACCAAACCAAUCAGUGAACUAAUUUAGUAAUCAUACACCCUUAACCUCUGCAUCACACACUCUGGAUCCAGUCACCUCUGAAAAGCCCCACCUAUGACAGUAUGAGGCUUUGGAGGAACAUCUAGACAAAAGCCAAAAACAGUCUGUCUCUUCACUUUCUCUGUGGACUCCAGUUUUCUCUUCAGAUCCCUCCUGGGUCCCAAGGAUCCACCUCACUUCUUUUCAUCCCCACCUUGCUAAAGUUUCUGGAUUCCAAAUCUAGGAGAGGUCAACUUGCUGCUUACUGCUCCACCAUCUUCCCAAAGUCUGUUUCUGAUUUUUAAAACAUAUUUUGGAGCCUAUGAGACCCCUGUGUUUGGUCCCUGAGCUAGAAGAAGGAGGGAUGUGCCGAACAGCAAAACAGGCACCAAGGGCCCGUCGAGUCACAUGCUGUGUCCAAGCCAGUCCCUGCCCAGUCUGGAGAAGGAGCCUAGUUCUGUUCUCAAAGAGACAGGUAUCUUCCAGUUUUCUGCUUAGCACAUAAUCCAAGUGUCACUCCAUCAGGACCAGACUCUUCAUCUGUCCUAGGGCCUGGGGCUGAGUCAUUUUGGUUCAUCACAUCCUCAGCCACACCAUGUGCUAUAAAGGUAAAACCCUGUUAGCACCUCAGUGCACAUUUAUGUGGUUUACACACACAAGAAGCCAUCAAAGGAUCCUUUCCUGCAGGUUCUGCUGGGCUGAGUGGACAGAUGGUGUCCUUGUCCUCAUCUGAAUGGGGUGAAAUGGAAAGUCCUGAGGCUGGUGAGUUAGGGAGGAAGCAAGUGUGGCUGUCCUGCCACAGCCUCAGUGCUUGUCCUGUCAGCCCCUGCCUGUGCCCCCAGGAAUGGCUGGGGACACCCAUCCUGUGGCUCAUGGGGGAUCACAAGUACAGGACCUCCCCCCUGUAGCAUUAUAGCUCAGCAAGACCUCAGUCCAGCUUCAGGGCAUGUGAUCUGAAGGUGAGAUGAUUUGAUUAUCAUUUCAGUAACAGUUGUGCAUAUUUCCUUUAAUUUGUUUCCUUUUUCUUUAAAAGAAAAAAUCUUGGGGCCAGGGAUUUAUUUAGCUCAGUGGUUUCACCGCCUGCUGUGCAAGCACAAGGACCCAAGUUUGAUCCCCGGUACCAAAAAAAUAAAUAAAUAAAAUUUUAAAAAAAAUCUUAAGGGUCAUAUGAAACACUCAAGUGUCUGGUUACAACCAUGGGCUUGUCCUCUGAGUCUGCAGGCUGAGCAGUGCCAUGGGACAGUCAGUGGGCUGCAGGACUCUCAGUUCUUGUUACGAGAGGAAAUUCAGUUCCCAAAAGCCCAGUCAUCAUGAUGAGAGCAAAUGCCCAAGGAAGCCAUAACUGAGGUUGGGCUCUUCCUCAGGCCCCUCGCUCCCUGUGUGUCCCAGGCCAGCACUCCUGCUCCUCACACAAACAAGUGCUCACUGGCCUAAAAGCUCUGCUGGCGCAGCAGCCUCCCAGGGGCCUGGCAGAAGCUCCUGCCACUUACCCGGCUCAGGAUGGAAGCCCUUCCUGUGUCACUGCCUCAGCUCUGCAGAGCCACCAGAGUUUCUUAUCUUUGUGAAAGAUCUGUCACAUGGCAAGUGAAGUGAUAAGCUUGAAUUAUGCUUGCAUUAAUUUAGAGUUUUAAUUUGCUUAGAAAUCUUUUUGUUUUAUACAUGAAAAUGAAGCAACAGGAUCUUGUGUUCAGGUGAAAAUUAAAUCUGAUUUUACCCAAGAUAUGAAGCCAUUAUUCCAGUGUGCCAUUGUAUUGCAGUGUACUAAAGGGUUCUGGGUUCUGUCACAAUAUUUUUUUUUUUUUUUGGUACCAGGGGUCGAACUUGGGACCUUCUGCUUGCAAGAAUUCUAACACUGGAUCCCACAGCUACCCAUCAGGGCUGGUGUCAUGAAACAUGAACAGCCUUAUGCAGGGCUGCACAGUUCAGCAGUGCAGACAAAACAGCUCAAGGACAAAGGGAAGGAAAGAAGAGAAGGUUUCCAGAGAUGAAGCAUAGAAAACACACUCCACACACAGUUCUCUUGGGGAGGAAAUCACCGGAGCUGGAAGAGUGAAAGAAGAAGCAGAAGCAGCAUUGGGCAGAUGCUCCUUGACUCCCAAGAGCUGGUUGAGGAACAUCCAAGCGAAAUGUUCAGAGGUAGGAAAGAUACUUGUGCACACUAGAAUCUUAAUAUAUCAUUCUUUAGGCAACAUAGUGUCCUACAGACUUUGGGGAGCCAAGGUUUUACAUUAGGCCUUCAAGCUCUCUGCAACCUUUAAUUAGAGUUUUGGCGCUGACUGAUACCUCCUAGGCUGGUGUUUGCAAGGUCAGCCCUGUGGGUCUCUCCCUGCUCCACUAGGUACACUGCUUGCCAUCUGUAGUUGCCACUUGAUAUCAACACUGAUCCUUGGGCCUUGUAACUCCAAAGUCAGGGCUACUCCAGUGUCCCACAUCACAUCCUGGAGCCAAGGAGGUCAGGGUUCUGUUCUCUAAUGAAGAACUAAGUUUGCUAUCAAUAUGAAAAACUAAGUAGAUAGCACACAGCCCACAAGAAAUAAUGGAUUUUUUUAAAUUCUAUUAAAGCCCAAAAUUUAAUCUCAUUUGGUUAAAGCUAUCCAGCCCCACCUCAGAGGAAGGAAGACUCCCCAGCAACUCUCACCCCUGUGGCCAGGUCAUAUUCCAGCCCCUGAUCUGACUUCACAGGAUCUCAAAAGGCCAGCUGCUUAGCCUCUGGGAGUAGCCAAAGCCCCAGAGGAGAAGGAGCCUGUCAGUCUGUUCUGUGGUACUGUAACUACACAGUGGGUAAUUUAGGAAGAGAUUUCCUUCUCACAGUUACGGGGUUGGAAGGCCCAGUAUCAAGGUGCCAGCGGCCCCUUGCUACUGCAUCCCAUUGCAGAAGGACAGACAGAGGGCAAAAGGAAGCCACUCUAAAAGUCCUCUUAACCAUUGGACAGUUUACCCCAGUCAUCACUUGGAUAACGCAUUUGUUUACAUACUGACUAUCCCGAGUGUCACUCAGGCAGGUGUCAUUUCAG
ensembl:lncRNA